CAGAGAACCUGCCCAUGUGGGUAGAUCUCCCACCCUUUGUUUACUUUACCUUUGUUGCCUUGGCAGGCCCGUCGUAUUGACCACCGGCUUCAGCGGGUCAGUGCCUGUCAGAGGACCCCCAAAACUCUCUAAUUUUGUUUUGUCUGAGUACUAUAAAAUCGUUA
rnacentral:misc_RNA from 1 species